CCUACGGGUGGCAGCAGUGAGGAAUAUUGGUCAAUGGGCGCGAGCCUGAACCAGCCACGUAGCGUGAAGGAUGACUGCCCUACGGGUUGUAACCUUCUUUUAUAACGGAAUAAAGUGAGGCACGUUUGCCUUUUUGUAUGUACUUUAUGAAUACGGAUCGGCUAACUACGUGCCAGCAGCCGCGGUAAUACGGAGGAUCCGAGCGUUAGUCGGAUUUAUUGUGUUUAAAGGGAGCGUAGGUGGAUUGUUAAGUCAGUUGUGAAAGUUUGCGGUUCAACCGUAAAAUUGUAGGUGAAACUGGCAGGCUUGAGUACAGUAGAGGUAGGCGGAAUUCGUGGUGUAGCAGUGAAAUGCGUAGAUAUCACGAAGAACUCCGAUUGCGAAGGCAGUUCACUGGACUGCAACUGACACUGAGGCUCGAAAGUGUGGGGAUCAAACAGGAUUAGAUACCCCAGUAGUC
rnacentral:rRNA from 1 species